GUGCGCAUGGAAAGUGAGAUGCUGUGCUAAAGCUGGUAUAUCGGAACCAAAUCAUACGUAGAAUGGAUUUGGUCCCCUUCAACCAGCUGUUGCAUAGUAUUAAAUGCAUCAACUGGGUCA
rnacentral:pre_miRNA from 14 species